ACUAGAUAUCUAUAGAAUGCAAUGUGUUCUAUAUACAAAAUGGCCACUACAAGAAUUCCUGCUUUCACAGUGAUAUUUUUCCUGGCAUUUUUUAUCCUUACAUCAGAUAUGUGCAUAAAAUUAGAAGGAAGAGAACUUGAUGCAAAACCUUGCAAGUAUGAUGCAGAUUGUCAACCUGGAUGUCCUUCUGGUCAAAAAGGAUGUUGUGUUAACGGAAGAUGUUGGUGUUAUUCUCCACCAGCUUCUGUUAAUAACAUUCCUGGUGGAGCAUCCCAAGAUGCAGUUUGUUUUUAAUACAAAUGGUUUUUUUGAGGUGUCUCCUCAAAAAGUGUUGUAAGAUUACACAACAUAUUGUGAUGCAAUCAUAUUAUGUAUGAAUAAAUUUUUAUUAAAAGUA